rnacentral:rRNA from 1 species
UGCAGUCGAGCGAGAAGCCCCUUCGGGGGUAAGUAGAGCGGCGGACGGGUGAGUAAUGCGUGAACAACCUGCCUUUAGGACUGGGAUAACUACGGGAAACUGUAGCUAAUACCGGAUAAGACCACGACUUCUACGGAUUUUGAGGUAAAAGGUGGCCAGCUUGCUGGCUAUCACCUUUAGAUGGGUUCACGUUCCAUCAGGUUGUUGGUGAGGUAACGGCUCACCAAGCCUAAGACGGAUAGUUGGCCUUAGCGGGUGGCCAACCACACGGGGACUGAGACACGGCCCCGACUCCUACGGGAGGCAGCAGUGAGGAAUAUUGGGCAAUGGGCGAAAGCCUGACCCAGCGACGUCGCGUGGGGGAUGAAGGCCUUCGGGUCGUAAACCCUUGUCAUAGGGGAAGAUGGGUAUGUGUGCUAAUACCACACAUACUUGACGGUACCCUAAAAGGAAGCCCCGGCUAACUCCGUGCCAGCAGCCGCGGUAAUACGGAGGGGGCAAGCGUUGCUCGGAAUUACUGGGCGUAAAGGGUCCGCAGGUGGUUUUGCAAGUUAGAUGUGAAAGCUCAGGGCUCAACCCGGAAACUGCAUCUAAUACUACAAAACUAGAGUCUAGGAGAGGUUGGCGGAAUUCCCGGUGUAGCGGUGAAAUG